UAAAAUUAUUAAAUUCUACAACGCUUAUAAGCAAUUUGCGAGGACGUGCGAAUAUCGAGUCACAGUAUUAUUCAAUUGUGAUUGCACGUGGACGGCCAUUAGCUGUCACUUGUACUAAAAUUGGUCACGGUGGAUCCCACCAUUCCUCCUUGAUCAACAUCACCAUAAUGUGUUUUCGCCAUCAUCGCGGCGGGCGUACGUACUCCAGAGGGAUAGAGCAAGUUUUGCAAUAGGGUCCUCCCCUCCCCCCCUCCUUCUUAAGCGAGCGCCACGUCAGCGUUCCCGGCUAGUUGGUUUAGACGGACACGGUUACGACCAUGAGUGGGGCCGUAGGGUCCGGUUUUUUUCACUUUAACUUUUGUAAAAUAAAAGCCAACAUUUCUUAAAUGAGCUAGCUAAGGGUGAUUCUAACGAUAUUUGAGGUGGAUUUUGGUCCGUUUCUCCUUAGAUAGGUGAUGGGUCCACUAUUUUACUGUCUAAUAUUUUUAGAAAAUAAUAAUUUGGAUUUUUUAAAAGAAAAGAAUGGUAAAUACUUGGAAAAACAAAUGAUAAAUGAUAAAGUUAAAAUUUAUAUUUUUAAUUCACUUUACAUUCGAACUGCUCCCUUUAAUCAGAUGAUAAAUUCAUUUUAAAGUGAAACCAACCUUUUUUUACGAGAAAAAAAAAAUAUAUAGGUUCAAUCAUGAGCAAAUAAAGAAAAUAAAGACGACUUAGACGAGAGUAGUAUUUUUACUUAAGAAAAUAGGGAGCAGAUAUUAUAUUUAUUGGUACAAAUUUUUGAACCAUGCUCGAUACACUACAUUUCUAUUAUCUAUGAAUUUAUAUUUUCAACAUGAAUUGAACUAUUGACACCCUGAAAUAUCUUCAUAAAAUCCCUUUUAAAAAUAACGUCGAUUUAAUUUCACAAAUAACUUUCAAAUUAUUUUUCUCAACAAAAUCUCAAUAAAACCUUCUCUCUCUCUAUGAAACUCUUUCAAGUUCAACGACAUUAUAAUGAUUGUGCUUAUUCAACAUCGUAAGUUCAGCACUGAAACUUUCAUGUGCAAUGAUGGAGAUAAAAUACUUUAGAUUGGCAGAAUUCUAAAACUACGGAACUUAUUAUAUUCAAUUUUAGAGUGAUUUCAUUUCACAUCACCAAAUCCAUAUUUUUAUGCUUUGAAUAAGAGUGAGACUUUCUUUAUUUUUUAGUCAAGAUUGUUCUUUUGAAAAUUUCGUUUGAUAUUAGUUAAUAAAUGAUUUGUAAAUGAAAUUUUAUAUCUAGAUCAUGAACAAUAAACUUGGUUGUUGACAAUAUUAUUGAAAUAGAUGGGUGCGUUUAAUUAACUUUUGUAUAAAAUAAUUCAAAUUAAGAUUAAAAUUAUAAAUUUUAAAACAAAGGGGUGCCAAUAGCUCAGCUCUUUCAACAUAUUCUAGCCCAAAACACGAACCACUCAAGGAUACAUCUACGAAGCUACGAAAAAAUCUUAGUUCAGGUUAAUUAACAGCAGGUUGUAAAGUAAUACGCAAUGUACAAAGUUGAAAGACCAAAGUGAUGCUAUUAGCACCCUGUAUAAUUCAUAUAAAAUUAGAGAAAAGGACAAAUAUAAUUCAAUUUAACUCAUUUUAUUACAAUAUAUUCACACCUCAUGCAUCAUAAUAUCAUAUGAGAAAAUGACAAUGGCACAAUAAUUCUUGAGUUGAAAUCCCUACUAUAAAAGAGAUAACAACAACUAUAAUAAUAAUA
rnacentral:lncRNA from 1 species